rnacentral:tRNA from 1 species
GCGCCCGUAGCUCAGUUGGAUAGAGCGACAGCCUCCGGAGCUGUAGGUCGAGGGUUCGAACCCCCCCGGGCGUA